rnacentral:rRNA from 1 species
GAUGAACGCUGGCGGCGUGCCUAAUACAUGCAAGUCGAGCGAACAGACGAGGAGCUUGCUCCUCUGACGUUAGCGGCGGACGGGUGAGUAACACGUGGAUAACCUACCUAUAAGACUGGGAUAACUUCGGGAAACCGGAGCUAAUACCGGAUAAUAUAUUGAACCGCAUGGUUCAAAGUGAAAGACGGUUUUGCUGUCACUUAUAGAUGGAUCCGCGCCGCAUUAGCUAGUUGGUAAGGUAACGGCUUACCAAGGCGACGAUGCGUAGCCGACCUGAGAGGGUGAUCGGCCACACUGGAACUGAGACACGGUCCAGACUCCUACGGGAGGCAGCAGUAGGGAAUCUUCCGCAAUGGGCGAAAGCCUGACGGAGCAACGCCGCGUGAGUGAUGAAGGUCUUCGGAUCGUAAAACUCUGUUAUUAGGGAAGAACAAAUGUGUAAGUAACUAUGCACGUCUUGACGGUACCUAAUCAGAAAGCCACGGCUAACUACGUG